ACGGCCUCUAGUGCAGAUCUUGGUGGUAGUAGCAAGUAUACAAGAGAGAUCCUUGUAGACUGAAGUGGGGAAAGGUUUCGCGUGAACAGCAAUUGGACGCGAGUGAGUCGGUCCUAAGCAUGGCCUGAGAUGGUGGAAUGGAUGAUUGUUUGAAAGAUAUCAAUCCGCGUGCGAAAGGGAAUUGCGUUAAUAUUCGCAAACCAGAGGUUAGUGUUUAAUGCGGUAACGCUAGCGCUGUUUGGAGACGUUGGCGAGCAUCCCGGGAAGAGUUCUCUUUUCUUUUUAAUUCUUUCUUUAAUUAAUCACCCCGGAAGUCCUUUGCGGAGCGAGGGGGCGAUUGAAGAAGCAGAGCAGCCCAGUUUUGGGGUUGUCCGGUGCAUGUUCGACGGCCCGUGAAAAUCCAAAGGGCGGCAUCAUUUUGCCUCUGGCCGUACUGAUAACCGCAACAGGUCUCCAAGAUGAAAAGUCUCUAGUCAAUAGAAGAAUGUAGAUAAGGGAAGUCGGCAAGAUAGAUCCGUAACUUCGGGAAAAGGAUUGGCUCUGAGGGCUGGGCACGGGGGUCCCAGUCCCGAACCCGUCGGCUGUCGGUGGACUGCUCGAGCUGCUCCCGCGGCGAGAGCGGGUCGCCGCGUGCCGGCCGGGGGACAGAUUGGGAACGAUCGUUUCGGCGGUCUUCCCCGGGCGUCGAACAGUCGACUCAGAACUGGUACGGACAAGGGGAAUCCGACUGUUUAAUUAAAACAAAGCAUUGCGAUGGUCGGAAACGAUGUUGACGCAAUGUGAUUUCUGCCCAGUGCUCUGAAUGUCAUCGUGAAGUAAUUCAAAAAAGCGCGGGUAAACGGCGGGAGUAACUAUGACUCUCUUAAGGUAGCCAAAUGCCUCGUCAUCUAACUUGUGACGCGCAUGAAUGGAUUAACGAGAUUCCCACUGUCCCUAUUUACUAUCUAGCGAAGCCACAGCCAAGGGAACGGGCUUGGGAUAAUCAGCGGGGAAAGAAGACCCUGUUGAGCUUGACUCUAGUCCGACCUUCGUGAAAUGAACUGAUUGGUGUAGUAGAGGUGGGAGCUUCGGCACAAAUGAAAUACCACUACUUUCGGUAACAUUUGCCUUCUUUUUAUUACUUAUUCCGUUGUACUAAGUCCACUCCUUGAGUGGUUCUAGCUCUAAGCGCUGGCCUCGGCUAGCGCGAGUAGCGCGGAAGACAUGGUCAGGUGGGGAGUUUGGCUGGGGCGGCACAUCUGCUAAACGAUAACGCAGGUGUCCCAAGGUAAGCUCAAAGAGAACGGAAAUCUCUUGUUGACUAAAAAGGGGAAAUGAGCUUGCUUGAUUUAUUACUUAAUUUGUUAGAUUUUCAGUACGAAUUCGAACUGCGAAAGCAUGGCCUAUCGAUCCUUUUGUUUUUGAAGAGGUGCUUAAGCUAGAGGUGUCAGAAAAGU
rnacentral:rRNA from 1 species